GGGCCGGAAGCCAGCAGCGGCAAGGG
rnacentral:SRP_RNA from 1 species